rnacentral:lncRNA from 1 species
AGCACAGGUACGUGGGCGGGCGGAUCGUGGUGGCUGCGCUUGCGAGGACCCUGAGGUAGAUUGGGUGGUUUCAACAGGAACGCAUCCACUGUCUGAGAGUUUAAACUUGAUUUUGUGAGGGGACGAACAGCGUGACAAUUAAAAGAAGAUCUGGGAAUCGAAUACCCAUCUCGAGUUCUGGAUAUGUGCUCUGAGAAGGUGCCCAUGUCACCGACCACACUGGAGGCCAAUGCAGAUACUGGGGGAAGGUUCCAUGGUAGCUAAGUGUGGACAAGCUAAUCACUGAAGUUCCCUGAUGCAGAGUUGAUAAUCUCUCUAGAGUUGGAUGAAAGACUGUGCUGCCUUGAAGCUCUGAGAGAUGCCAUGCCAAUUCAAGGCAGGGUCUUUAUUGUUGAAACUCUUGCGUAAUGACAUCUUUAUUCAGGUGAAAAUACAGGAUGAAUUUCAACUAUAUGAUAUUGUUUAUGUUCCUCAGACAUGUUAUUUGUCUUUACAAAGAUUGGUUUCAAUAAACUGUGUGACUGAUAUUAAAUAAACAUGGAAUUUUACACAUUCAUAAUA